CCUACGGGAGGCAGCAGUGGGGAAUAUUGGACAAUGGGGGCAACCCUGAUCCAGCAAUGCCGCGUGUGUGAUGAAGGCCUUAGGGUUGUAAAGCACUUUCACUGGUGAAGAUGAUGACGGUAACCAGAGAAGAAGCCCCGGCUAACCUCGUGCCAGCAGCCGCGGUAAUACGAAGGGGGCGAGCGUUGUUCGGAAUUACUGGGCGUAAAGGGCGCGUAGGCGGUCUUUUAAGUUAGGCGUGAAAUCCCCGGGCUCAACCUGGGAACUGCGCUUAAGACUGGAAGACUAGAAAACGGAAGAGGGUAGUGGAAUUCCCAGUGUAGAGGUGAAAUUCGUAGAUAUUGGGAAGAACACCAGUGGCGAAAGCGGCUACCUGGUCCGAUUUUGACGCUGAGGCGCGAAAGCGUGGGGAGCAAACAGGAUUAGAUACCCUGGUAG
rnacentral:rRNA from 1 species